GAAGAAAGAGGGAGGCGUGCUUAACACAUGCAAGUCGAACGGAAAGGCCCUGCUUUGGUGGGGUGCUCGAGUGGCGACCGGGUGAGUAACACGUGAGUACCCUGCCCUUGCCUUUGGGAUAACUUCAGGAAACUGGGGCUCAUACCGGAUAGGAGCUCCUGCUGCAUGGUGGGGGUUGGAAAGUUUCGGCGGUUGGGGAUGGACUCGCGGCGUAUCAGCUUGUUGGUGGGGUAGUGGCUUACCAAGGCUUUGACGGGUAGCCGGCCUGAGAGGGUGACCGGCCACAUUGGGCCUGGACUGCGGCACGGCCCCCUACGGGAGGCAGCAGUGGGGAAUAUUGCACAAUGGGCUGAACCCUGAUGCAGCAACGCCGCGUGCGGGAUGACGGCCUUCGGGUUGGAAACCAAAUUCCCCUUUGACGAAACGUGAGUGACGGUAAUGGGUAAAGAAGCACCGGCUAACUACGUG
rnacentral:rRNA from 1 species